GAUGAAGAACGUAGCGAAAUGCGAUAAGUAGUGUGAAUUGCAGAAUUCCGUGAAUCAUCGAAUCUUUGAACGCACAUUGCGCCUUCUGGUAUUCCGGGGGGCAUGCCUGUCCGAGCGUCAUUGCUGCCCUCAAGCACGGCUUGUGUGUUGGGCCUCCGUCCUCCUCCCGGGGGACGGGCCCGAAAGGCAGCGGCGGCACCGCGUCCGGUCCUCGAGCGUAUGGGGCUUCGUCACCCGCUCUUGUAGGCCCGGCCGGCGCUUGCCGACACAUCAAUCUUUUUUCCAGGUUGACCUCGGAUCAGGUAGGGAUACCCGCUGAACUUAAGCAUAUCAAUAAGCGGAGGA
rnacentral:misc_RNA from 1 species